CAGGAUUAGAGGCGUUAUUGUGACAGGUUGAGUGUGGAAGGGUUGGGGGACUAUAACAGGUUUAGAUGUGUUAAUGUGACAGAGUGAGUGUGGAAAGGUUGGUGGGUGAGAGAGCUGGGGAUGAGUGUGGCACGGUUAGAGGAGAGAGUGUGUCAGGAUGAGGGGAAGUAGGCGUGACAGGAUUGGAGGUUUUUUUUGACAGGGUGAUUGUGACAGGGUGAAUGUCAAUGAGUAGAGUGUGAUAGGGCUGGGAGGUGAAUGUGACA